UUGAAAGGGAAACGAUUGAAGUCAGUCGUACCUGUGGGUAAUCAGCCUUUUGGGUGUGAUUUUGUGGAGUGUGAGGAGUUAAACGCCUUCAUGCCUGCAUAUUCGUGCACUUUGGGUGCAUUUACCCGUGUGGUAAGUUAACAUCAAUUUCGGUGGUCAUAAAAUGGCUGGAGGAAUGUAGCUUCGAUCUUGUAUUGAAGUGUUAUAGCCUUCGGUAGAUGUGAUAAUCGGGAUUGAGGAUUGCAACGGAUACCCCUCGGGGCUACCUGUCUGAUCUCUGAUCGUUGCUCUGGUGCCGAAAGCUUGCUUACGGUUAUCAAAGUCGAUGGUCAAUAGGUUAGAACGGGUUAAAUUCGUUAAGGAUGUUGACGUA
rnacentral:rRNA from 1 species